UUGACCUCGGAUCAGGUAGGGAUACCCGCUGAACUUAAGCAUAUCAAUAAGCGGAGGAAAAGAAACCAACAGGGAUUACCUCAGUAACGGCGAGUGAAGCGGUAACAGCUCAAAUUUGAAAUCUGGGUCUUUCAGGCUCCGAGUUGUAAUUUGUAGAAGAUGCUUUGGGUGCGGCCCCGGUCUAAGUUCCUUGGAACAGGACGUCAUAGAGGGUGAGAAUCCCGUAUGUGAUCGGUGGCUUGCGCCCGUGUAAAGCUCUUUCGACGAGUCGGGUUGUUUGGGAAUGCAGCUCUAAAUGGGUGGUAAAUUUCAUCUAAAGCUAAAUAUUGGCCAGAGACCGAUAGCGCACAAGUAGAGUGAUCGAAAGAUGAAAAGCACUUUGGAAAGAGAGUUAAACAGUACGUGAAAUUGUUGAAAGGGAAGCGCUUGCAACCAGACUUGCGCGGGGUUGAUCAUCCGGGGUUCUCCCCGGUGCACUCGGCCUCGCUCAGGCCAGCAUCGGUUUCGGUGGUUGGAUAAAGGCCUUGGGAAUGUGACUCCUCUCGGGGAGUGUUAUAGCCCUCGGUGCAAUGCAGCCUACCGGGACCGAGGACCGCGCUUCGGCUAGGAUGCUGGCGUAAUGGUUGUAAGCGACCCGUCUUGAAA
rnacentral:rRNA from 1 species